rnacentral:rRNA from 1 species
UAGGGAAUAUUAGUAAUGGGCGCAAGCCUGAACUAGCAACGCCGCGUGUGCGAAGAAGGCCUUCGGGUUGUAAAGCACUUUUUGAGAGGAUGAGGAAGGACGGUACUCUCAGAAUAAGUCUCGGCUAACUACAUGCCAGCAGCCGCGGUAACACGUAGGAGGCAAACGUUAUCCGGAUUUACUGGGCGUAAAGCGCGUGUAGGUGGUUUGGUAAGUAGGGCGUGAAAGCUCCUGGCUCAACUGGGAGAGGCCGUUCUAAACUGCCGAACUAGAGGAUGGUAGAGGGAGGUGGAAUUCCGGGUGUAGCGGUGGAAUGCGCAGAUAUCCGGAGGAACACCAGUGGCGAAAGCGGCCUCCUGGACCAUUCCUGACACUCAGACGCGAAAGCUAGGGUAGCAAACG